rnacentral:rRNA from 1 species
CCUACGGGAGGCAGCAGUGGGGAUAUUGCACAAUGGGCGCAAGCCUGAUGCAGCCAUGCCGCGUGUGUGAAGAAGGCCUUCGGGUUGUAAAGCACUUUCAGCGGGGAGGAAGGCGGUGAGGUUAAUAACCUCAUCGAUUGACGUUACCCGCAGAAGAAGCACCGGCUAACUCCGUGCCAGCAGCCGCGGUAAUACGGAGGGUGCAAGCGUUAAUCGGAAUUACUGGGCGUAAAGCGCACGCAGGCGGUCUGUCAAGUCGGAUGUGAAAUCCCCGGGCUCAACCUGGGAACUGCAUUCGAGACUGGCAGGCUAGAGUCUUGUAGAGGGGGGUAGAAUUCCAGGUGUAGCGGUGAAAUGCGUAGAGAUCUGGAGGAAUACCGGUGGCGAAGGCGGCCCCCUGGACAAAGACUGACGCUCAGGUGCGAAAGCGUGGGGAGCAAACAGGAUUAGAUACCCCGGUAGUC